GACGAACGCUGGCGGCGUGCUUAACACAUGCAAGUCGAACGGAAAGACCCUGCUUUGGUGGGGUGCUCGAGUGGAGAACGGGUGUAACACACGUGUGUAAUCCGCUCUUGACUUUGGGAUCACUUCAGGAAACUGGGGCUUAUCCCGGAUAGGAGCCUCCGCUGCAUGGUGGGGGGUGGAAAGUUUCGGCGGGUGGGGAUGGACUCGCGGUUUAUCAGCUUGUUGGGGGGGUAGUGGUUUACCAAGGCUUUGACGGGUCGCCGGCCUGAGAGGGUGAGCGGCAAAAUUGGGAUGGAGAUACGGCCCAGACUCCUAAGGGAGGAAGAAGUGGGGAAUAUUGCACAAGGGGUGGAAGCCUGAUGAAGAAACGCCGUGGGCGGGAUGACGGCCUUCGGGUUGUAAACCGCUUUCGCUCAUGACGAAGCUUUGUGUGACGGUAGUGGGUAAAGAAGCACCGGCUAACUACGUG
rnacentral:rRNA from 1 species